UCAAACAAACAAAAAGAAAGUUAAAAACAUCUAGACCUCUAAUUUUCGGACUUCUAAUGGAACAAAAGCCUAGAACUUGGGAAUAAGAAAAUAAAACAAAAGAAAUCCUAGGUGAGGCUUGUAGCUUUUGGCUAACAAGACACACUCACCAUCUACUAGCAAUGCCAGUAAAGAAAAUUGCCAAGAUUGGAGAGAGCACUAUACUCUAAAACAGACUACACAUUCAAAACUCCAAAAGAUCAAGCCACAAUACUUUGUUGCUCCAUAUGUGCACUGCUUGAACUUGUCCAGCUGCCUCCUUGCUUGUUUUGAUCGUUCAACUCUUAUACCUUGCUGUUUCAAUCUUGAAGACUAGAACUGGCUACUGUAGAACUUGUUUUCUACUAGGGAACAAUUUGUAUUCAGCAAUUGAUUUGCAAUCAGAUGUAGGUUUGAGGAUUUGCACGUUUCCUAGCUCAAAGAUCUUAUGAAACUGUGGUUGUUGGCUUAUACAAGUAGUUCCCAAUUAAUUUUGCACAUCUGCAACAUAUCAUAAUCCAGCAGAUACAACAAUGAAUUAGUGCAGUGGUUACUUCGAAAAAUUUGGUUCAGUGCAGUUUAUAAUUUUUCCAAACUAAUCAAAUAGUGUGUUAGGCUAAUGAGAAUAAGUUUAGCACAUUGAUUGAAACAAAGCUUCUUAAAAUCAUAUUUUAAUCAGCUAUACAAAGUUCAAUUCAGUGGUAUUUGGAUUUGUCAGAAUGUUGUUGCACUGCNGCAGUCCUUGAAGAUUAUCCUUUUGUUCAGCUUCACAAUUGCCUGAAUCAACUUAAUCAUCAAAUAGAAGAGGGUUAGAUGCAGUGACAGUAACCAAUAUAAUAAGAAUUGUAGCAGCUUAAAACUGAUCACUCAUUUUCUCAACAAAGGUAGCUUGGCUUUUAGGUGCAGCCACUCAAAUCUCACUUCCUGGACUAUUUCAGGUUAUUUUCACUCCACUAGCAAGUUUCUUUUGGAUGAUAUACACUCAAUCUCACUAACACUCAACUCUUUGGGUUGUAUCUCAAUAUUUGGGUGGUGAAGUUGCCAAAAAUUCAGUGUUUUAUGCUGCUGAAAAGUGAAAAUUAUGCUUGCUGGACAGCACACUUGAAUUCCAAAAUUCAGGUUCCUCUCCACUUCCUAAGAUGCUACCUUAGUAGGGAAAGGGUUCUGCAACUUGAAUUCACCAAUUAGACUUCACAAAACCAUAGAAAUCAUCCAAACAGUCACCAAACAGAUUAGAAAUCU
rnacentral:lncRNA from 1 species